rnacentral:tRNA from 1 species
UCCCUGGUAGUCCAGUACGUAAGACUCUGUGCUCCCAAUACAGGGGGCCAGGGUUCGAUCCCUAGUCCGGGAA